GAAGCCUAUGUAGCUGCAGUGACCAGGGCUAAUAUCUUCUAUCAUUUCAUCUAGGGUUUCUGAACUGUAUUCAACUAUAAGUGAUGCAGAACUUGACAGCACCAUUGAGGAAAUACAGAGAAUGUAUCCAAACUCAGGGUACAGAAUAAUUCAUGGUCAUCUUCAAGCAAGAGGUCUCCAUGUUCAAACUUCAAGAGUCCGAGAAUCUGUCAGAAGAGUAGAUCCUCAUGGAACAUCGAUGCGAGCGAUGUCAAUGCGAACCAUAAGGCGACAUCAGUACACUGUGCCUUUUCCCAAUGCUAUGUGGCAUAUUGAUGGCAAUCAUAAACUCAUCAGAUGGAGAUUGGUGAUUCAUGGUAGAAUCAAUGGUUUCAGCCGACUAAUAGUUUAUCUUUCUGUGUCUCUAAAUAACCGAGCAUCCACUGUGCUCAGCAACUUCAUAUCUGCUGUUAAUUAAUAUGGUAUCCCAUCAAGAGUCCGAUCUGACAAAGGUGUGGAGAAUAUUGCAGUUGCUGAGUACAUGGUGGCACACAGAGGAGAAAACAGGAAUUCUCAUAUUACA